rnacentral:rRNA from 1 species
GCAUGCAUAUAGCAUAGUGUUGAUGGAUCAUAUCCUAUUAGAACUUCAUAGUUAAGCACAUUCGAUAUAGAGUAGUACUAGGAUGGGUGACCGCCUGGGAAAUCCUAGUGUUUUACAUACC